GACGAACGCUGGCGGCGUGCCUAACACAUGCAAGUCGAGCGAGGAAUGUCGGAUAGCUUGCUAUCUGGUAUUUCUAGCGGCGGACGGGUGAGUAACGCGUGAGCAACCUGCCUUUAUCAGGGGGAUAACGCAUCGAAAGAUGUGCUAAUACCGCGUAAGACCACAGCCUCACAUGGGGCAGGGGUCAAAGGAGCAAUCCGGAUAAAGAUGGGCUCGCGUCCGAUUAGCUAGUUGGUGAGAUAACAGCCCACCAAGGCGACGAUCGGUAGCCGACCUGAGAGGGUGAUCGGCCACAUUGGAACUGAGAGACGGUCCAGACUCCUACGGGAGGCAGCAGUGGGGAAUAUUGGGCAAUGGGCGAAAGCCUGACCCAGCAACGCCGCGUGAGGGAAGAAGGGUUUCGGCUCGUAAACCUCUGUCCUAUGGGACGAAGGAAGUGACGGUACCAUAGGAGGAAGCCCCGGC
rnacentral:rRNA from 1 species